UGAUAAGUUGGUUGAGACGUAUAUUGUUUCUACGGAAAAAUCGACACCUUCGGCUUUUUUUUCAAACUUCGUAGUGGUAUAAGAUGACGCAUCGAUAACGACGGACAAUUAUAAAUUGCACAGUAACAAGCGCGUUUAGGUAGCGUUAUGCAAUGGAAUGCUCUAUUUUUAAAGACGAUUAUGACGCGGAAUGCUUUUUUCAAUGGCUUCGACGUAGAGCCUCGAAAUCUUUCAUUUCUCGCGAACAUGGUUCACGAUUUACCAUCGACAAAUUUUUAAACAAUAAUUUUACUUCCGAUAGGCGAUUGUGGAGUCGUGGAGUGUAACCCACGACCUCUAAUGUUUUCAUUAAAUGUUUAUCGAGAAGUUGAUGGAGUUUAUGGAGAAUUGGACAAAUCCUAGUGAGUGAUAAAGGCACUCGAGUAGCGAUUCGCUUCUUCAGCUAUUUCCAACAUUGCGCGACGCUUACCCAUCCGAUGUUUACUUUGGAACUUUGUUUAUCUGGAUACGCCUUAUCAAGCACUAUUGAGAAUUCACGCGCGCCGGAGAAUUCCUGGUUGGAAAUCCAUAGCCAUUUCGACAUAUUCAGACCUGCACCACCUAUCAAAAAUCAGCAUGGACUUUCCGGACAACCCAAUACUUGGAUCACUUCGAAUAUUAGGAGUACUUUCGAUCAUUCGCGUUGAUUACUAUUCGAAAAUUUAAUGUUUAAGCAGUUCCAUCUUUGAAUACUUCGAGAUUUGAGUAGUUCGACACAAAAAUAUUCGAGUGUUCAAAUGCGAAGCAUUUGGACGAGUGGUCCCGAGCCUAGUUAAGUCAUGACUGCAUUAUUAUGGUAGCUGUGCGUGCCACGACGCAUGAGAGUUUGUGUACACGGUGCUCACGGGUCUGAAAGCGUGGGGCGUGUCUGACGUUAAACGGGUCAGAGCCCUUCACAGAAAGUAUCACGUAAACAUCUUGCGACUAAAAAUACGUUCAAUGGAAAUGCGUUCGUUUUUGUCCAACCGUUUUGUUGUCUGGUAGUUUUAAUUAUAAAUGGAUUCGACGAACCCUGUGAACUCUAUUACAUCGUUCGUAUAAAAAUAGAAUAUAUCGGUAGAAAUUGUGGGAAUAUAAAUUUGUCUUCGGCUUGUUUACAUCGGCAAAAACGGUGCCACGUAAAAAUUGCUUGGACUGAACCGUGCCCGAUAGUCAUUCCUUUGUAUUAUAUGCGGUUGAAGAUAGAUCACAGAAAAUAUCACGGCUUUAGGAGAAUAAUAAUAAUAUUUUGUGGAAGCAUAAAAAAAGCUUCAGCCUUCGGAAAGAGAUUAUGCUGAGUACAAAAACACUGUUCGUUUGAUGUAUAUGCACGUUCAUGCCAUCGGCUAUUACAGAACCUUGACCGUUUUAGACGAUAAUCUGAGUUUCCUAGUGUAAAACUCACGUUUCUAUUACUUCAUCGCAAAUCCAGUGAAUUAAUCAUUAUAUAAAAUGUGAUAAGAGUUACAUAUAUUUUUAUUUAUUAUUUUUAUAACUACGAUCGCAAAAUAUAGAUUUCAGGUAGGGGAUAUAAAAUGCAUCGCGUUAUUCUCAAUGAAUGACACCUUCGUGGGUAAGUACGAUCCCUCUGAUACCUAUUGUUGGCAUCUUAAAAAUAUUCUGUUUCUAUUACCAGGCGAGAAAGAAGAACCUAGGGACUUUUUGAAAUACACCAUGCCGUCGCAGAUGUCGCUAGAGAAGAAGCUGCCUUCUGGAAAUUGAGCAGAGCUCUCGGUCGAUAAAUACUCCGUUCAAAAUUUCCCGCUUUCGGAAGCAGACCGCGCGCAGUGGGCGGAGCUAGUUUCCCCUCUGCGCUCCCCACUUCGGUUCGCGUAGUCACGCUGCGUUGGUGGGAGUGGGGGUUGUUUGGUAUCGCGUUUGUUUAGUUGCUCGCUGACAGCGGCCGCGGUAUGAGCUGUCGUGGUGCGUGUAUGCGUUCUCCGUCGGCACUCGUGCGUGGAAAACGCGAGAACCGGCCGUAAACGCGGGUAAGGAAAACAAGGAACGCUUUCGAGACGGCCUGUAAACCGUUCAACGGAAAAGAGAAGCGUUCGCAAGCUACGUACAUUGUCCGGUGAUCGGGAAACGUUUGUUGUGCCUCAAAAGUGUUUUACUCCCGGCUGUUCUACGCUUUCUUUUUAUUUUUAUCCCUUGUCCUCGCUUUAUAUCGUCUCUCGUACCAACCUGUUCCGUCUAAACGCUGAUUCUCGUUGCGUGUGCUGUGUCACUUGUUCUAUGUCAACGACGUCACGACGAUCUGGGACGGAGCAGCAAUCUUCAUCAUCUCACGCGCAGUACCUGCAACGAUGUCAAGCAUGUCGACGUUGAUUUGGUGAUGGCAGAACGCAGAGGAUGUCACGCCGCAAGCAGAGCAACCCGAAACCGCUGAAACGUGAGUC